CUGAGGGGGGAGCGGUUCGGAAACACGUGAGAAAGAAGGUGUGAUUCAAACUGCAGCGAGACAGAAGAAGGAGAAUACUGUGUGACUUCGUUCAGCUAAGAUAAAAAUGAACUGCGAGGCUUAACUCGAUUAAGUCACAGUUAAGAGCUACAGGUGAGCCAGCGUGGUGCUAGCACACACCUUUUACAACCAAAACGCCUCAAAACCCCAGAAAUACGAGAACACACUGGCGAACGUGAGCGGUUCCUGCUGGUGUGACGUCAGAGGAGUGGAGACUCGCCGCUAUCCUCAGCUUCACUCGUACCGAGGCCUGAAGCGCCCGGUGUGUACGCGAAGCAACAGGUGUGCGCUCGUUUUAGCGCACCCGCCGACCGUUGGCCACGAGCGCACUCAACGCGGAGCACUCCGAGCGUGCAAGCGCGUCCCACACAGCAAAACAAGCACGGCCCUGCGCCGCGGGAGCUGGGAGCCGACGUCCACUUGCUCCCGCGGCCACUUGUAGGUCGCAGGACGUCUGGAUGAGAGGACACUUACGAAAGCCUCCUCGCGUGGAUUCACGGCGAAAGUACGUCCACUCGCAUCGCAGGCGACUAAACGGCAACCUCGUACGUUUCCAUGUCUUGUAACUUGUGUCCUUUUCACGCCGUUCUUCUUUUGUCGCGCCCCGUUCCCCCUGCGGGAUAAUUUUUCUCUCGCAGGUCCCAACAAAAAGUAGGAGGCAAAGCUUCCCUCAGGAUGUGACGUCACGACAAAUCCCGAACAAACCGUGAUUAGCAUUUUUAAAGCGACAAGCCUUUGUUGACCUGUUGUGGGUCAGCGACGCCUUCACGCGUGUCUUUUGAGACAUACAAAGUUAAAAUGUGUUAUACAUAACCUGGAAAUUCAUGUUUUAUUCAAGUUAUUUAAUCGUUGGUUAUUAACGUUUUCUAAGAAAAUGGAAUUGGUAAAUCGCUUUUUUAUUGUUGCCACAUCUAAAGUCAAAUGCACGCAUGCAUAAAGAUGCGCCCAAAUCCGCACAUCCACAUAUUAAGGUCGUUUAUAUUUUAAUUAGAGGAUUAGAGGAACAGACUCUUUAUUUAUUUUCUGUAUCAAGCAUACAGUGUGUCCAUUGCACCCUCUUCUGGUUAGUUUGGGUAUAAAAGGUCAAUAAACCUUGACAUGAAGGAAAAGUGUGACUGACAUGUGCAUGUUUAAGGCUUUAUGGGUCAUUAAGGAUUUAACGUCAUGGUAUCAAAGCAGUAAUUAAUGCAAUUUACUGAAUGUGUCCAUUAGAUUUCUUUUUUUGUGUGUGUUUAUCAAAAUGUUUAGAUCACUUUUCAAAGUUGUGCACCAUUUCUAAUCAUGUAAAUAGGCUGUUACUGUUAUGAGUACAGAUGGGAUAAAAACAAAACAAAAGUUUUGUUGAGCCUUUUGAUGAUGCUCAUUUAAACAAAAUAUCAUUAUCUCUAUUAUAUAUUACAUUUAAAACAAGUUCUAAUUUACCUCUGUGGACACUGUCUAUAUUUUUUCCUCAUGUAACAGCUGUCAUCGCAUCCUCUGGCUAGGUAGUACCAUUAUUAAAGAUGGUUUAACUACCUUAGGCUAUUAAAUCAUUUGACAUUAUCAUCAAUCUUUAUGGUUGGCGUCAAUGCAGCACAGCAGGGAGUAUUUGUUCAGCUUUUCUUUCUCUGCUUUCGCAAUAUUUUCCUCACAACUAGAAAAGCCUUUUCAUAACUUUUUGGACAGCCUUUGUGUCAGUGAGUAUGUUAUUUUCUUUGGAUGCUGGCAUCACAGACGGUGAAGGUUAGAAUCUAACAAAUCAAAAGUCUAAAGAUGUUAAAGUGUUUUUUGCCAGUGUUUUCCUCGAACUUUGCCCAACCUCACUUUUACAGUGUGGAAAAGCAAGGUGAUCGGAAGCCACGUCUCCAUGCUUUGACAGACAAGCUUUAAUUGUUCACAAUCAAGCUUAUGGACAUGUCCAAAGCGCCGUAAAACCAUGGUACCAGAAAGAAACAAGCAACUAAGGACAGAGGUUUGUUUAUGACACAGGUAGAAGUUAACCAAGGGCAUAAUACUGUAAAACAUUUCGCAUCAUCUUGUGUUUCAUUAUAUAUACACUCGCUGUUAUAGAUUUCAAAUAAAACAAACUGUUUGAAAUAGCAGUGUUGAGAUAAACACCAUGUGUGUCACAUUUGAAUCACCCAAAGGGAACCAAAAUAAAAAAAAUCUUAAAUAUAAACAAAAUCUUUCUGCUCACAAAUGAUUUUCCCUUUUAUUUUAAAGAUUUUUUUUCAUAUACAACAUUGUAUUUACACGGUCUAGUAUUAUUUACACAAAAUUAACAAGUGGCACUGUGUAGUUAGGAGUUCUUUUCUUUUUUCUUGUUCCCUAUAGGUGUCUUAUUUAAAGAAAAUUAAAAAUGAUAAAUAAAAAGCAAAAAAGAACAACUCAUUUUAACAACGCUUUACUGUACGUCUCCAACUUUAUUU